UAAGGUAUAGCUCAAGUGGUAGAGCUCAUGCUUAGCAUGCACGAUGUCCUGGGUUCAAUCCCUAGUACCUCCA
rnacentral:tRNA from 1 species